UCGCUCAGGUCUCUCCUCAUGAGUUCGAACUAAUCUUUCGCCUUUUACUAAAGAUUACCGUGGGGAGGGGCACUCCAAUGAGCCUAUAGGCCAAUUUUUGGGAGGCCUUGUCCGUUUGGGCG
rnacentral:snRNA from 1 species